AGCGAACGCUGGCGGCAGGCCUAACACAUGCAAGUCGAACGGACCCUUCGGGGUUAGUGGCGGACGGGUGAGUAACACGUGGGAACGUGCCUUUAGGUUCGGAAUAGCUCCUGGAAACGGGUGGUAAUGCCGAUUGUGCCCUUCGGGGGAAAGAUUUAUCGCCUUUAGAGCGGCCCGCGUCUGAUUAGCUAGUUGGUGAGGUAACGGCUCACCAAGGCGACGAUCAGUAGCUGGUCUGAGAGGAUGACCAGCCACACUGGGACUGAGACACGGCCCAGACUCCUACGGGAGGCAGCAGUGGGGAAUCUUGCGCAAUGGGCGAAAGCCUGACGCAGCCAUGCCGCGUGAAUGAUGAAGGUCUUAGGAUUGUAAAAUUCUUUCACCGGGGACGAUAAUGACGGUACCCGGAGAAGAAGCCCCGGCUAACUUCGUG
rnacentral:rRNA from 1 species